ensembl:lncRNA
ACUUUCCCACUGUGGUCCUUGCAGCCUAUCAGGUGCAAGCGACCUUCUUGUCCACUUAUGGUAGGCUAGGAAACAUACCGCAAAAUUCCAGAACACUAGCCUCUCUUGGAAGGGGUUCAGCCCUUCCCCCUACCUAGCACUCCCACUUUCUGGCGCCUUCCCCAUUCCCAGGCACUGACUUCAAAACAGCUAACGUUUAAUCUGCCCAAAGCUGGAGAUGAGUAACCUUCCACACCUGAGGCUCCCAUGCCAUAUCCAGCCAUGGGUUCUGCAAAACAGUGCUUUAGGGGUGAGUAGACCAGUUUCUUAGCUGAUGCAGGAUGGCCUUUGGGACUCCUGUAGAAGAAGAGUACUUCCUCAGCCACAGGAUUUUAGGCCCUGUGUCAUAGCCAACUCCCUCUUCCUCAGAGACUCUGUAAUGCGCUAGCCCUGCCUUCAACUUCCCAGAGCAUCUCCUCCCUCUAGCUUGCUUCCCAGCGUCACUGUCAGAGGUACAACUCACAAACUCUUGAGGGAGCUAUGCUCUGGGGACCUUCAUAUGACAAGGCUGCAGGCUGCAACCUAGACUGGGGGCCUCAGGCAGCAACAGCAGUCUCUGGGGGAGGGGCAGACCAGGUUGGGGCUCCGUAAAGGCAAGCCUGUCCUGGGAGGCCAGGCCAGGGCCUUGCUGAGUAUUCUGGGUCCUCUGUGGGCUGGAGGUGUGUUGAGUAACUAUUCUGCUCUUCCCUAGACAACAGGAUAGGUCAGAGUUAGAGGAACCGAAACAGUUCAGAGCCCACCCUACCCAGGAGAUGGCCUGGAACCCUGCAGGUCUCCAGGAGUGGUGACAGCAGUGGUGGAUAAACUGGACAAGGAGGCAUUUCAGAAGCUCCAUGCAGAAGACAACCCCUAACUCCAGAUGACUGAUUCUCUCACAAAUAAAAGGACAAAGGUCAGGCUGUGCCCAAGCCAAGGAGAAAGAAUGCUAGUUGGCCAUUUACCUACAGAGCGGUGGAGUAGUGGCUGAGACACAGAGGAUCUCUGGAGCAAGCUGGCUAGCCAGACUAAUUGUACUGGUGAACCCUGGGUUCAAUUGAGA